ACCUCUGCAAUAGGCGAAAGCUUGACAGGGUUACUCUGAGUGAUUUCCGUUAAGGAGAUCUUUUGGCACCUCUAAAAAUGGUGCAGAAUAAGGGGUGGGCAAGUCUGGUGUCAGCCGCCGCGGUAAUACCAGCACCCCGAGUGGUCGGGACGUUUAUUGGGCCUAAAGCAUCCGUAGCCGGUUCUACAAGUCUUCCGUUAAAUCCACCUGCUUAACAGAUGGGCUGCGGAAGAUACUAUAGAGCUAGGAGGCGGGAGAGGCAAGCGGUACUCGAUGGGUAGGGGUAAAAUCCGUUGAUCCAUUGAAGACCACCAGUGGCGAAGGCGGCUUGCCAGAACGCGCUCGACGGUGAGGGAUGAAAGCUGGGGGAGCAAACCGGAUUAGAUACCCGGGUAGUCCCAGCUGUAAACGAUGCAGACUCGGUGAUGAGUUGGCUUAUUGCUAACUCAGUGCCGCAGGGAAGCCGUUAAGUUUGCCGCCUGGGGAGUACGGUCGCAAGACUGAAACUUAA
rnacentral:rRNA from 1 species